ensembl:lncRNA
UUGCCAACUGACUCUUCAGUUACAUUGUGUAUUUACUGCACCAUGGUGUUAGUGAGAUUUUGGACAUUGAACAGCUUUAGCUAAUAUCAUCAGCAGCAUUAUGCUAGCUUACAUCCCUACCCCUCCUGCCCUCACCUGCUGUCCUUUUGUUUUUGUUUUUGUUUUUUUUGCUGCACAUUGAGAGACGACCUCUAUUCUGCAUUUCACCAGGAGUCAGCUGAUGGAUUGUGGGUUCAAGGUGUUAUGAUAAAAUGCAGCAUUCCAGUGCAUCCCAACCAUGCCUUUACAGUCAAGGUUUCUGACGGAGCUGAGUUUCUCUCUGACAGUCUGCUGAAAGUGUUUGCAAAGUGAUCGGGGGAACAGGGCACAAAGCUAAAGGAUGUAGCUGCCAUUAUGACAUCAAGGAUGACAUUAAUGCUCGGAGUCCCUCAUCAAAGUGCUCCGCAUCUGUGUGAAAGACAAUUGCAACAUCUUGGUGCAGGAGUUCAUGGACUUGACUGAGGCCACUGCACAGAUUGAGAAAACCACAAUGAACAUCUGUCUCCAGAGAUGCGGCAGGCAAUGACUUUUCUGAUGUUGUUCUUCAAGAUCUGGAUAACGUGACCUUUGCAGUAGCCAUGCUGUUUGGACCUUUUUUAUUCCUUCAACAUGAGUUACCCAUCACAACUCUGCUACACUUUUGAGGUGAUUCAAUGGGUGGUAAUGGAGUUGGAUGCAACUCAGCUCUCAAGAAAAGCUCACAACUAAGACAAAACUGCUCCUGCAACGAAGCUCACUGUUAUGCAUGUGAGGUGACCAGCUCUAGGUGAGAGGACAUUUAAAUCUCACACUUGUUCUGCUGCAUUUUUGAAGCUCAAUUCCAGGAACGGAUCGCAGGGUUCAUUUUUAUAUACUCUGCAACUGCCAUGAGGACGAGCUGUUUUUUGUUGUUGUUUGUUUUUCCUUUUGCUCUGUACAAGUUCUGUUUGUCUGUUUGGCAGCAUUUUUAAAUUUCUCUUUUUUCUUUCUUUUACUAGUGAAGAGAUGUAGCGUGAACAGUUAUGCAGUCUAAAUAUCCCAUAUGGGCCGUGUGAAAUGUUAUUUUCAGUUUCAUUCAGUUGAAGUAAAGAACGUUGAAUAUUUCUAAGUGUGCUGUUUUGAACCAAGAUGUCACAGUAUGAUCAGUGCUGUAAUUUUUGACAGUCACUGUAUCAAUGUUAUUUUUGCGUCUCUUGAAUAAAGUUUUUGACCUGCAAGUGCUAAUUUCUUUAGUUAUUGGGGUAAAAUGGGUAGUGUUAAUAGGAAGGUGUUUGCCAAUUCA